rnacentral:lncRNA from 1 species
CCCUGGAUUUAGUCCAUCCAUGGAUGAUUUUCUUUUAAAAAAUAUACAUCAUAACUCUUUUAUAUGGUACUGGAUGUAGUCUCUAUCUGAGCAUUAUAGAACUCAAUGUGGAUUUACAGCUUUGUAAUCGACAACCUUUUGAUUUAAAGCUAUUUUAAUGUAUGAAACGUGACUAGAAAGAUUUGAAGGCACAAAUACACAUCAAUACAUAGAGGUGAAAGAACCUCCUGGAAUAAAAACAAAACGUAAACAUCUGCGACACUUCACCCAAGCUUUGGUAGUACAACUUCAAGUAGGUUCUUGACAGCAAACUUGUGCCGUAGCCCCACCCUCAC